CACGUAGGCGGAUUUGUUAGUCAGGGGUGAAAUCCCGAGGCUCAACCUCGGAACUGCCUUUGAUACUGCAAAUCUCGAGUCCGGAAGAGGUGAGUGGAAUUCCUAGUGUAGAGGUGAAAUUCGUAGAUAUUAAGAAGAACACCAGUGGCGAAGGCGGCUCACUGGUCCGGUACUGACGCUGAGGUGCGAAAGCGUGGGGAGCAAACA
rnacentral:rRNA from 1 species